rnacentral:tRNA from 1 species
GGAGGAGUGGCCGAGCGGUUGAAGGCACCGGUCUUGAAAACCGGCAGGGUCGAGAGGCCCUCGGGGGUUCGAAUCCCUCCUCCUCCG